GACGAACGCUGGCGGCGUGCUUAACACAUGCAAGUCGAACGGAAAGGCCCUGCUUUUGUGGGGUGCUCGAGUGGCGAACGGGUGAGUAACACGGGAGUAACCUGCCCUUGACUUUGGGAUAACUUCAGGAAACUGGGGCUAAUACCGGAUAGGAGCUCCUGCUGCAUGGUGGGGGUUGGAAAGUUUCGGCGGUUGGGGAUGGACUCGCGGCUUAUCAGCUUGUUGGUGGGGUAGUGGCUUACCAAGGCUUUGACGGGUAGCCGGCCUGAGAGGGUGACCGGCCACAUUGGGACUGAGAUACGGCCCAGACUCCUACGGGAGGCGGCAGUGGGGAAUAUUGCACAAUGGGCGGAAGCCUGAUGCAGCAACGCCGCGUGCGGGAUGACGGCCUUCGGGUUGUAAACCGCUUUCGCCUGUGACGAAGCGUGAGUGACGGUAAUGGGUAAAGAAGCACCGGCUAACUACGUG
rnacentral:rRNA from 1 species